GAUUUAGCUCAGUUGUAGAGCAUUUACUUUGCAUGUAGAAGACCCCAGGCUUAAUUCCUGGUAUCUUCA